rnacentral:rRNA from 1 species
UAAGCGGAGGAAAAGAAACUAACAAGGAUUCCCCUAGUAACUGCGAGUGAAGCGGGAAAAGCUCAAAUUUAAAAUCUGGCGGUCUUUGGCCGUCCGAGUUGUAAUUUAGAGAAGCGUCUUCCGCGCCGGACCGUGCACAAGUCUCCUGGAAUGGAGCGUCAUAGAGGGUGAGAAUCCCGUCUUUGGCACGGAUGCCUGGUGCUUCUGUGAUGCGCUCUCGAAGAGUCGAGUUGUUUGGGAAUGCAGCUCAAAAUGGGUGGUGAACUCCAUCUAAAGCUAAAUAUUGGCGAGAGACCGAUAGCGAACAAGUACCGUGAGGGAAAGAUGAAAAGCACUUUGGAAAGAGAGUGAAACAGUACGUGAAAUUGUUGAAAGGGAAACGCUUGAAGUCAGUCGCGUCGACCGAGACUCAGCCUUGCCUCGGCUUGGUGUACUUCUCGGCCCGACGGGUCAGCGUCAAUUUUGCCCCUCGGAUAAUGGCAAGGGAAAGGUGGCACCUUUACGGGUGUGUUAUAGUCUCCUGUCGCAUGCGAGGGGUGGGAUUGAGGAACUCAGCGCGCACCUUGGUGUCGGGGCUUCGGCCCACGUCACGCGCUUANAUGCUGGCGUANUGNCUUUAAACGANC